rnacentral:sRNA from 1 species
UUAAUUUUUCUAAUAUUAUGAAUUUAUCAUAAUAAUAUAUUAUAUUUUUCUUUCUUUUAAUAGUAAUAUAUUAUAUUUAUUUUGGUUUAUUUUUGUUUAAUUACUAUCACACCCGCUGGUUUACCAGUCAUAAAACUCCCGCAAACGCACCCAUUAUCAAACGUUCAACCAGUCGUUCAAAACGUUUGAUAACGCUUGAAACUGCAACCGCCAGUUUCCGCAAACUUCCGCAACCAUAACCGCACCCGCUGCAUUUUAAUCCGUCAGGCCCUAAAAAAAUUAAUCACUAGGCCGUUAAUCCCUAUCCGUAAUACGAAACACUAGAGGGAUAGAAUAGUAAAUCGCAUCGUGACCGGUCAUAAAA